UGGGUUGCAGCUAUAAUGAACUUUUGCUUUGGGAGCAGAGGGUCGGAGGUUCGAAUCCUCUCGCCCCGACCA
rnacentral:tRNA from 4 species